rnacentral:rRNA from 1 species
AGCCUUGUAUGAAUAAGGGGGUACCAUCCUCCAAGGCUAAGUAUAAUAUAUCUAGCGAUAGUGGAGAGUAACGUGAGUGAAAGGUGAAAAGUAAGUAGAUGACUAGUGAAAUAGAACCUGAACUAGUAAUCCUAUAAGCAGUUGGAGUUUUAGUAAAAAAUGACAACGUACCUUUUGCAUAAUGGGUCAGCGAGUUAGUUUAUAGAGCAAGAUGAAUAAUCUAAGCGAAAGCAACUAUAAUAAGUGGAUCAAAAAUAGUUUUAUGAACUAGACCCGAAGCCAAAUGAUCUUACUAUGGCCAGGCUAAAAAAGGGCCGAACAGGUGAAUGUUGCAAAAUUCUCUGAUGAGCUGUGGUAAGGGGUGAAUUUUUCGCCCUCAUAACGAGUGAUUGUUAUUGAUAAAUCUAACUCAUAACGGUGAAGCCUAAGGUUCUACAAUAUCCAAAUAGAACUAUGGUAAUACCGUGGGAAGUCUUAUUAUUGUAGGAACUAUCUAUUUUAUUAAUAUUAUUUAUAUUAAUACCUUAAUAAUGACCCCGUAACGACUGAUUCAAAAGAAGAGACUCUGAAAUUUAUUUCUUUGUAACACGUUAGCACUCUAUCGUUCCAAUCUACUAUGAUUAUAAGCAACAAGAUACUAUUUAUACUAUAUUUUAAUUUGCGGUAUUAAAGAGGAUAAUGAUCUAAUGAAAGUAGUAGAACUAGUUUAUAAUAUGAAUCUGGAUGGGAAAUCACGUAAACAAAGUAAGGAAGAAUAUCUAAAAAAAUUUGUUAAGGAUAUUACAGUAUAAAAAAUAUCUUAUAAUCUAAGGUAGAAGUAGAGUUGAAGGUAUAGUCUAAACUAUAAUGAAAAUUAUAGAAUUUCUUGGAAAGGCCAAUCUAAUUUGGAUGAUAGCUGGUAUUCUGCGAAACCUAUUUAGGUAGGGCCUUUAUUUACACUUUUAUAUGUACAGCACUGAUCAUCAUACAUUAGCCAGAUAUUUAUAUCACUAUGUUAAAUUGGGGGGUCUCACAACUCUACCAUUGAUGGUUAACCUCGGAAGGAUAAUAGUGAAUGAUAAGGGCACAGUCUAUUCAUGAUAAGGUGGAUAGACAAAAGGGAAACAGCCCAGAGCACGUGUUAAGGUCCCAAAAUAUUGUUAAGUGAAUAUAAGAAAGUUUAACUCCUAAUACAACCAUGAAGUAGGCUUGGAGGUAGCCAUCUUUUAAUGAUAGUGUAACAACUCAGUGGUCCAUGUUUCCCUAAUCCCUUACAGGGAUUAGGGAAACACAUAAAAGAAAAAGAAAUUUUUCUUGCAGUUUCCUAGGAAACAGGAGGAGAUAAGCGUCGAAAAUUAACGGGUCUUAGACAAUAUACCUACACCGUGACUAUUUAUAAUAUAUUCUAUUUUUAUUAUAAAUAAGGGUAGCAGAACAUUCAGUAUCUGAUUGAAGGGAAAUGUUUCAUUUACUGGACAGUACUGAAGAGAAAAUGCUGACAUGAGUAACGUAGAAAGGAGUUAAAACACUCCUCGCCGAAUACGAGAGGGUUUCAUGGAAAAGUUAAUCUGCCAUGAGUUAUACGGACUCUAAGGAUUAUAUGACGAAUGUUUAUAUCUGAUGAGAAUAAUAACACUGAAUUAUCUAUAUAUAAUAUCAUUUAAUCUGUAUGAGAUUGUACAGAGUAAAGGAUAGAUCAAGAAAAAUAAGUGUCACUAAAUUUAUAGUGAAUCCGUACCCUAAACCGACACAGGUUCGUAGGUAGAGAAUACUAAGGCGUAGAGAUAAUGCUUGUGAAGGAACUCGGCAAAUUGUGCCCGUAAGUUAGACGAUAAGGGUAACCAGAAUAAAAUAAUUAUAUUCUAAUUCUGAGUGUCACAUAAUCGAGGGCUGCGACUGUUUACCAAAAACACAGCAACUUGCUAAGACGAAUAGUACUUGUAUAAGUUGUGAACUCUGCCCAAUGCCAUGUCGUGUAAAGAAGGUGAUUUAUUUAGUAGUUAUACUAAAUAGUGUCACUAACUGAUGCCAUGGUGAAUGGCGGUCUUAACUAUAAGGAUCUGAAAGUAGCGAAAUUCCUUGGCCAUUAAAUGUGGUCCUGCAUGAAUGAGGUAACGUGGCCCUGCUGUCUCCACAAGCAUCUCAGUGAAAUUGAAUUAGCCGUGCAGAUGCGGUUUACCUUCAGUUAGACGGGAAGACCCUAUGCAGCUUUACUGUAACUUGAUAUUGUUUCUUCUAUAGCUAAGUGUAGUAUACAAGGGAGUAGAUAUUUUCUACAUCAGUGAAAUACCUUGAUUAGUCUAAAGAAGAAACUUACCUAAAUGACACUAAUCGAAUAGUUCUUCAUGAGAUAUUGCGAAGAUCUCUAGUUUACGUCUCUAUAAAUUAAAUAGGAUUUAAUUUUCAUUUUUUUUUUCUAUUAGGUUUAUGGAAAGAGGAGUUUAUUCUCUUCUUUCCAUAAAUGGAAUAGAGGAAGAAUUCUUCCUCUAUUCCAUUUAUAAUACAGCCCCUUUUAUAUUUAUAAAAUAUAAGAUAAACUGUAUAUGAAUAAUUUAUUAAAUUUAGUAGUCUGGGAAAAUAUCAGGUGGUCAGUUUGACUGGGACGGUAGCCUCUAAUAAAGUAUCAGAGGCCUUCAAAGGUAUGCAUAUAUUGGUCAGAAACCAAUGAACUAUGUAAAGUUUAUUAAAGCGUAAUAGUAUAAGCAUGCUUGACUGAAAGACUGAUAGGUCGAUCAGAUACGCAAGUAGGAUAUAGUGAUCCGGUGAUUCAUUAUGGAAUGGUCAUCGCUCAAGAAAUAAAAGUUACGCUAGGGAUAGACUGUUGUCCCAUCUAUUUAUUAUUUAUGUUAGUUAUUGAAAUAAUUACUAAAUCUACUAUAUAGAUUUAUAAUUACUAUAAUAUAAAAGUAAGUAGAUACAAAAUCGGGUGAAUUGCAAGGACAUCUUAUUUUUAUAUAAGACAAUUUGCAGCUAAGCUUAUAUCAGUGUAUAUCUAAAUUUAUAGAUAGUGAUGUAAGAAAGUUCAACGACUAAUCGGUGAGUUGCACUAACAAUAAUCCGGACACGAGCGCCCGACAUUUAACAGUAUUAAUACCGACUACGGAGAAAUAAAAUAAAAUAAAAUAUACGAUGAAAAAUAAAAUGACACGAGAAAUGCUAGUUUCUAUUAAAGAAGAACUAGCUAAACAAGGGAAACACUUAGCCCUAACUCAAAUUACUUUAAAGAAUAUAAAGAAACGCUAACUGGACUAUCUGAAUCUCAAAAAGAUAGGGACGGAGAUGUUCGAAUCGAACAGGCUAAAAGCGGGAAUGGACAUCUUAUGAAGUUUGAAUGGGCUAAUAAGGAAUAUGCACAUGAUGUUUAUGAACAAUUCAAAUCUUAUGUAAUUACGCCACCACGUGAACAAAAGCGUAUUAACACUAGUGGAAAUGAAAAUGGUGCUUUCAAACUAUUGUACAUCCUGAUCUAGACUAUCUAGGUGAUGGUGCUUAAUGACAAAGUAUAUGAAAACAUUAGCCCCCAGACACUAGCUUGUUGGUUCAUGGAUGAUGGUGGAAUGAAUGGUAGUCAUUCACAUGGUCUCCAAUUCCGGGUUUCAGUCAUUUUGAAGUAAAUAAACUUUGUGAAGUUCUAAACUCACGGUACAAGUUUAAUGCUUGAAUGGGUGUAAAUAAAUCAAAACCUGUUAUUAAUAUUCCUGCAAAUCAAUAUCAACGAUUUCUUGAAAUUACUGGGAAAUACAUUUAUGAUAGUAUGAAACAUAAAUUUCGAAUGCGAUAAUCUAUUGAUUGAUAUCCCCUUUUAUUUAUUUUCUUUUUCUGUAAAUUACUCUGAUUUCAAUAGAGUUAGUUUUGUAUUAAUAGUUAAAUGAUGACAUAGUCUAAACUACAUAGUGAUAUGUAGAAAAAUAGUAUUAAAUGUGCUAUUCGUAAUAAAUAAUGAACAGGUUUAUCGUUUGCGAGAGUUCAUAUUGUCCAAACGGUUUGACACCUCGAUUAAAUAAAGAGUCACAGUCGAGGUUAAAUCGGGUGAAUUGCGGGAAACUCUCAUUACUUAACUCAAUAGUGAGACAAUCCGCAGCCAAGUCUAUUAAGGUAUUUUAGUUUACUAAAUCGUAGUAGAAAGGUUCAACGACUAGAAGGUGAGUCAUACCAACAAUAAUCCUUCCACGAGCGCCCGACAAUUAUACCUUGUUUAAAUUGUAGCUAAGUAGGUUAAUAUAGGUACUGGAAGCAUCUUUUGAAAUAAUAAGAUAUCCAGCAUCUGUUCACCGUUUACCGUGCAAUAUUGCAUAGGCAUACUGGUGUAAUUUUUACGCAAUCUAAACAAUGAAAAAGAUUAUUAAUGCUCGAAACGGUCAUCACUUUAAUUCUAAAUAUUGGCAAUCUCCCAACCCUAAACUAUUUCAACUUAUUCUAGGUAUGGUACUAAGCGAUGCUACUAUGUAUCGUGUUAGCCAUGAGGCUCUAGUUAAGUUUGAGCAAGGAGCUGAUCAAAAAGAGUUUCUAUUUCAUCUAUUCCAAGAGUCUAAAGAAUAUUGCUUUAUGACUGGUCUAAUCCAUUAGGUGACUAAUGGCGUAAGCAUAAACAGCUUACACUCUUCAUCGGGGAUCCCCUUUAUAUUAGAUUCCCAUUCAUUCUAAUAGUAAUGGAGAGGAAAAUGGUCGACUCAUCUCAUCCUCCAGGUGUAGUAGCUUGGAAGGGUUCAGCUGUUCGCUGAUUAAAGAGGUACGCGAGUUGGGUUCAAUACGACGUGAAAUUAAAUUAAUUUAAUUGAUUUCCCGCAAUAGGUUAAUUCAAAUUAUUAUUUAAUAGCAAGCAUAAUAAUUAAUACAAAUUAUUUAAAAUUUAUAUCAUGACAACAGCACUAAUUAAAAUUAUGAAGCGAAUUUAUGUUAAUUCGUCAGACUUCUUUAUUCCAAUUACAACUAUUACUAAAUAUCCUAUUCUUUUUACAUCUCUAAUUAAACGAAUUAAAAAGAUCCAAGAAUGUUAUUCACUACUUAAAUAUGAUAUUAAAAUUUCUAAUCUUAAUACUGAUAAAGCUAAGGCUCAAAAUGAACUUAGUGGUGUUUACGGUGUAAAAGUACAGGUAUGUUUUAUGUAGGUUCUGCUCUACGAUUCUUUACUAAUAAAGGUCGACUAACAGACUACUUUAUGCCGUUAAAGCUAGUAUAGAAGGUAAUAGUACUAAAGUAAGUAAAGAUCUAGCAUCCGCUAUUUUUACUUAUGGAAUUGAAGAUUUCACACUCCCUCAACAUGAUAUUAGUAGUAAACUAUAUAAAGCAACUAUUCAAAGUUGGGAACGGAUGAUGCUUUAUCCUACACUAAAUCGUAGUCUUAUGGUAUCUAGUAAUAGUGGAACUAUGAUGUCUGAAGAGAAUCGAAUGAAAAUUAGUACUAUGUUUUAUCAAUAUGAAAUUGAUAAUAACAAUGCAAUUAUUUAUAAUACUGAAAAGAUUCUAUUUGGACUUAAAGAAACUAGUCGGAUUGGAAUUACUAGUAUGGAUAACACACAUUAUCCUAUUCAGUAUGAUACUCUGAAAGGACAUUUUGAUAAUAAAAUGAUCAUCACAACAAAAAUUCUAUUUUUCAGCUGAACCUCUAACUAAUAAUCAGAUUAUUAGUUCUGUAAAUGUAAAUACAGAUGUAGAACUUUCAGAUAAACGAUCUCGAGGUAUUUGGGUUUAUGACGCUAAUACUAAAGAGUUUAUUAGUUAUGAAAGCAGUGUAAAAGAUUGAGAGAUGAAAUAUAACAUCAGUCGAACUCAUCUAAAACGAGUUCGAAAAUAUAAUCAACCGGAAAACUAUUCUGUAAUCAUAAACUAUAAUGAACAUAUAUUUUAUUCCCCUUGCUAUUAAAUAAAUUAACAUAAACAGAAGAUAAGACUCGCGUCGUAAGGAAACUGUAUGCUGGAACACCUUUAGAGUUCUUAGUACUAGAAAAUAUUCAGUAAGAAUCUAAGAAAUUAGGCAAUCAGCAGGAAACCAAGAUUUAAUAUAUAUUAAAUUAGUAGGAUCCUCAGAGACUAUGUGUUUCCAUCUUAAAAUAAAUUAAGAUAAGAUAUAGUCCGAACUAAUUAGAAAUAAUUAGAAGUAAUAUAUUUAUAUAUUACAAUAACAUCAUAAAAUAGGCCAUACCAUAAAUAAACUAAUUAGUAUAUUUAUGUAUUAGGAGUCAGUAUGGUCCCUAUCUUCUGAAGGAAAAAGUAAUCAAUUAAGGACCUCUGGUUAGUACGAAAGGACCGCUGGGGAUGAUUCCAUGGUGUACCUAUUGUUUAAUCUAUAUUUAGAUAUAGCACCGUAGGGUAGCCACAAUCAUGACAGAUAAGCGCUGAAAGCAUCUUAAGCACGAAGCACACCUUAUUAAAUUACAAGAAAUAAGAAGAAGACUACUUCUUAAUUAAUAGGGUGCAAAUGUAAGUAUAGU